ACCACAGAAAGGGGUUUUGCGACCUGGAGAGUGCUUAGGAUUAAGGGUGGUGAUUCAAUUUACUUUUUGAAUUUUCUGUGGGGCAGCCACAGGAAUGACUCGCUCUCGUAUGUAUGCAAUUCGGAAAAGCCAAAAUCGAUGCGCCCACACGAAACCACCCCCGUCAAUUUGCGAAUUUCGGUCAGAGUGCGUUGGCGUGUGUUUUGAAAAAGGAAAGACCCUCUGUGUCGUCGAGACGAAAGCAAAACUCACCCUUUUAUAUUGCAGUUUUCGCGUCCUCCACGGCUCAGGGUCGGCCGAACGCGCGCCGUGGCCACGCAGGAUCCAUCCUACCUGAAUCGAACCCUUCGCGAGUCCAAGGCCAGCCUCCCGAAACGCAGAUUUUGCCGAAAUAAAACGUCGCCAAGUGAAGAGACGACGAGUUUUGUCAAGUUUUGCUUGCAAACGACGCUGCUGCCCUCUGCCGGCCAAACUGCCCAAGCUAGAGCACAAUAACAUGAAUAACAUGCCCAUGCCAGUGCCCGAUCGAGAAUUCUGGAGCGCGAGUGCAUUCCAACCCUGGGGCGCCCUUCCGAAGGGUUGCUGAGACCCUAUUGGCCCAGGGUUGAGGGAUAAAGGGUCUUGACUGACAGCAGACUGGGAUGUGGUCACGUGACAACCUCAAGAAAAGUUAUUUUGGACUGCAAAGCUGCUGGUUCCUGAGCAAAGCAAUAGUUUGCGCAAACAUCCUCAUGAGCAGGUGCCAAAUCUCCAAGAUCUUCCGCAGUGCUCACGUUUCAAUAAUGUCUGUUGAUGUGAAGGAAGAGAUGAUGAGAGAGAUUUUGUCUGAAGAAAACAAAUUUUCCAGACGAAUAGGAAAAAAAUUUUACGUGCGAAAAAUAAAAUUGGAGAAAAAUGCUGAUGCUAAAAGUAAUUUACCCACCCAAUCAUGUAUCAAACAAGAGCCAACCGUACAGCUUGACAACGAUUGUAUAAACCAACCUGAUAAGCUCAUCGCCUUACAAAAAAAUCUUUUGAGAAAAAGAAAAUCAAAGCAAGAAUACGAAGACGUCAAACCCUUUUGUGGCAAGCCAAAAUUCCUGAAUGUCAGACCAAUUUCCCAAGAGAGCAGUAAAAAGUUCACCUGCAACAUUUGCAAAAAAGGGGUGGGAACGAAGGGUGGUUUGAAGUACCACAUCCAGGCGCACCUCUACGGCCGACCCUUUAAAUGCAAAAUUUGCAAAAGGUCGUACGCGACAAAGAACGAUUUUGACACGCACAACAAAAGACACUCGGGGAAAAAUGUGAUUUGCAAUUUUUGCCAAAAGCAAUUUCCUGUGAAAUCGUAUUUAGCCGAUCACAUUGCGAUGAGACAUUUGCCACCUGCAAGUGGUCUGCGCUGUCACCUUUGUACGCAGCCCCGCUUUUUUAUUCGAAAAACACAUUUGGAAAUGCACGUGGUAGCAGCUCACAACACAAUAGAAACGUUCUCUUGCAAACUUUGCAAUGCAAAAUAUAAAAAUUUGUUUAAUUACCAAAAACACUGCUCAAGGCGCAUUGAAAUGAAUUACAAGUGCAACAGAUGUGACGAGAAAUUUCCGUGUUGGAAUCUUCUUCUCGCGCAUAGAAAAGAGGAGGCGAAAAAUGGCCUGGAGUGCCCAAAGUGCAUGGAAAGGGUGAAAAAUCUAGCGGAACACAACAACGCCAGACACGCAAUAAAAAAUUGUGAUAUUUGCUCCUUUGCGGCAUCACCACAACGCUUGAAUAGCCACAAAAUGAAGUGUGGAACUGAGGAGCAAAUUCGAGCUCUGGGAUUCAAAUGCGAUUUGUGCAAUUUAUAUUUCAGAAACAGUCACAACGUGGCUCGGCACACAAAUAAAGAUCACGGGACACUUGAAUGCCCGGAAUGUCCAAGGAAAUUUUUAAAAAAAAGUUUUAUGCACACGCACAUUGCACAGGCUCACAGAAGUAAUAAAAACACGAGACCAUGAUAAGCGCAUAAUAAGCUUAUAAAUGGGUGCAUAAUAUGCACCAAAAUAUAUAUCUUGCUUUUUUAACCAAUGGUUUUAAUGCACUUUUCUUCAUUAAUUUCAUUAUUUUAACAAUUUUUUCUGACAAUGUAAUAAUAUAGUUUUCUUCUGGUUUUCUUCAAUUAAUUUGUGGAAGAUAUUUUAUUUUUCAAAUUAUAUUCUAUUAAGGUCUAGGCCAUGAAAGACAGGGUCUUGUCUUUUUUCGCCUUUUAUAUAGCUGUUGUAAAUACCCAAUUUUGUUUUUCAUUAAUAAUCUUAAUUAAAAUUAAAUAUAAUAAUUUAAAUUAUCCAUUUUGAAUGCUACACUUAAAGCGCCAAGUGGUUUCUGCUAAUGAUUGUUCGCCACAAUAAAUAUUUGAUUUGAAAAUAUCGAUCAGUCUUUUUAUUUAUCGCGAAUUGAGCUGGCUUAUAUUUUUAAAUGCUAAAUUUGUUUCGACCCAAAAAAUGAAAUCAAACAAAAAUAAUUUAAAUGCUUAGUCAAAUUCUAGCAACAGUGUUGACAUACUUGUGAGACUUAAAAGAGCAUUCACAUAUGCGUGGCUACUUUUUAUGCCAUAUGUUGCAGGCAAAAAAUAUGCAUGGUGUCAUUUAUCGCCUGCGAAGAGUCCUCCCACAUAUAUUUAUAGACGACUUCCUUUUGCUGAAGUGAAUCAUUGUUUCACUAUCAUUCGACUGUGGAGGUUGUGUUGCAAGCUCGAGCUGAAAAAUUUAAUAAUUUUAUUGCGUUCUGUAAAAAUGGAGAUUGCUGGUUAUGAAAAUGAGUCAAGGAAUGAAAUUUUGAUUGACUGCCAAAAGAUCAAAAGAGAACGAGUUGAAAGUGAUGGUGCCGAAGAUGAUUCAUCCACGAACGCAAUUCAGAGCGUCAAAGUGGAGAAAAUUAAAAAAGUCUUCAGAAUAAGAGUCCAAAUGAAGGAAGAGUUAGACGGAAAAUAUGUUUUAAAGCCAUUCACUGAUCCCAUCACAACUCUAAAAAUCCAGCCUGCUCCUUUGGAUCACGCUAAAAAGUUCACCUGCGACAUUUGCAAAAAAGGGGUGGGGACGAAGGGUGGUUUGAAGUACCACAUCCAAGUGCACCUCUUCGGCCGACCCUUUAAAUGCGACAUUUGCAAAAGGUCUUACGCGACCAAAAACGAUUUUGACACGCACAACAAAAGACACUCGGGGAAAAAUGUAAUUUGCAAUUAUUGCCAAAAGAAUUUCCUGUAAAAUCGUAUCUAGCUGAUCACAUUGUUUUGAGACAUUUGCCAUCAGCUUGUGCCCAGCGCUGUAUGAUAUGUACUAAACCUCGCUAUUUUUGUAGAAAAAUUCUUUUGGAAUCGCACAUGAAAGAAGUUCACAACACGCAUGGCAGUUUAUUAUGCAAACUGUGUAACAAAGAGUACAAAAGUUUCCAUUCUUUCAAGAAGCACUGUAAGGAGCGUGUUGGAAUGAAAUACGAGUGCAAAAGGUGUGACAAGAAAUUUCCUUGCCGGGACCUUCUUUUGUCCCAUAUGAGAAAGGAGACGAGAAAUCCAUUAGGAAUCGAGUGUCCGAUUUGCAUGAAAAAAGCUAAAGAUUUAGUGGAACACACUACCUCACAUCAUACCAAAAGAAAAUGUGACAUUUGCUCUUUUGAAGGAUCAAUGUACGACCUUAGAAAUCACAAAAGGUUUUGCGGAACUGAUGAACAAAUUCGCGCUCUGGACUUGGAAUGCAAAUUUUGUAAUUCAUUUUUCAGAACCACUUACCAUUUAGUCCUUCACAUGAAUGACAAUCACGGGCCAUUCAAAUGCCCUAAUUGCUCUAGGAAAUUUGUGACAAAUGAUAAGUUAAAGUGCCACUUUAACAAUACUCAUAGAAGAAACUGUCCUAGAAUCUACACUUGUUUAUUUUGCGUCCGAUAUAACAGCUUUUCGAAAAGAGACACAUUUAAUCGGCACUUUUACAAUCAUCACGAAUUUCCUGUCUCGGUGUCUUCGAAAAAAUAUGUGGGAGAGAAAUUGCGAUUUGGUUGUGAGAAGUGCAAAAAAGCUCUUUUCCACGUAAUGAGCAAAAGCCGUCUCAUUAAACACAUUAAAAAGUGUUAUGACAUUGUUAAUUAGGCCCCCCUUGGAUGCUUUAAUUGUUAUAUGAUGGAUAAAUGAUUUUGUUGUUGCAAAACGUAUUGUUAAUAGCAAACUUUAAAGUCUAGUUUGAAUGAGAAAUUGAGAACCUAAAACGUGUGUAUACUCCUUAUAAAAUUAUUGUUUAGUUUUUUGUUAUGAUAAACUUGUGAAAAUUCAAUGUUUAAUUAAUUAAUCUUAAAACUGCUUUUUAUUUGGUGUGUUAGUGUGUCAAUAAAAACAACACAUUUCUAUAUAUUUUCAGUUUUUUUCCUCUUAAGUGACAAAUAUCAAGCCUUUCUUUGAAAAUGUUUCA